rnacentral:rRNA from 1 species
AUUGAACGCUGGCGGCAUGCUUUACACAUGCAAUCCGAACGGCAGCGCGGGGCAACCUGGCGGCGAGUGGCGAACGGGUGAGUAAUACAUCGGAACGUACCCAGCAGUGGGGGAUAACGUAGCGAAAGUUACGCUAAUACCGCAUACGUUCUACGGAAGCAAGUGGGGGAUCUUCGGACCUCAUGCUUUUGGAGCGGCCGAUGUCUGAUUAGCUAGUUGGUGAGGUAAAGGCACAACAAGGGGACAAUCAGUAGCUGCGCUGAGAGGACGACCAGCCAGACUGUGACUGUGAGCCGGCCCCGACUGCUACGUGAGGAAGCAGUGGUGAAUUUUAGACAAUGGGCGCAAGCCUGAUCCAGCAAUGCCUCUUGAGUGAUGAAGACCUUCGGGUUGUAAAGCUCUUUCGGACGGAAAGAAAUUGCUUCGGAUAAUACCUCGGGUAGAUGGCGGUACCGUAAGAAGAAGCGCCGGCUAACUACUUUCCAGCCGCCGCCGUAA